rnacentral:rRNA from 1 species
AUGGGCAUCUCUGGUGCUGUGGAUUGGUGGGAGGAGUGGCAGCUGCGGAUCCUCGUCCUUGGCAGCCUCUUCGUCCAAUACCUUCUGCUCUGCUCUGCCCCAUUCCGUAAGGUCGCUAUUCCUUCCUGGUACAGAUCCAUCAUAUGGCUCGCAUAUGUAGGCAGCGAUGCCCUGGCCAUAUACGCCCUUGCCACCCUCUUUAACCGCCACAGGAAGGAUUAUGGAUCUGCAAACAACAAUAGCGUCCUGGAGGUGAAGCCUUGGGCUCUCAAGAGGGCUAGCAUUAAUAGUCUAGUCAGCUCUUCUGACCCUACCCCGAGGAUGGCAAGCAUGGUAGGAAAGACCAUUUUGCUUGAAGAGUGCGUGCAAGAAGCAAGGGAUUUUGUCCAGGGCGAUAAAUAUCAUCGAUCCCAAGGAGAAAGCGAUGCAGUGGACCUUGAGCACAUACAUGUUCCUCAAGCCCAAGGAGAAGCCUAUGAGCUGGAAGACAACCAUCAUCAUCAAGCCCAAGGAGAAGGCAAUGCAGCUAAACUUGAUCUCAACCAUAUUCCUCAAAUCAAUGGGAAGGCCGAUGUAAAAAUGCGCGUGAUAAAAAUAAGAGAAAAGGAGAGAAAAUUCGAUCUUGAGACCCGUAAGAUAUUUGUGGACCUUGCAUUAUCGUAUCCUGAUCGGCUAGAUUUCCUAAAAUAUAUCUGGGUACUUGAUAAGAAAAAAACAUGUGUUUUCUUGCGAAGAGGGUUAUUCCACACAUUUGAUAUUCUCUACUCGAGACAAACUUUUAACGGACACAUGGAGCUUCUAAGAGAAGAUGCAGCAGCGGCACAAAUAAGAAAAGAAGCAGCAACAGUAAGAAAAGGAUCAGCAGCGGUGGCGGCAGAAGAAGAAUCAGCAGCAGAAAGAAGCAGCGAUCGCAAGAAAAGAAUCAGUACCAGAAAAGAAUCGGCAGCAGAAAGAAGCAGCAGCAGGAAGAAAAGAAUCGGUACCAGAAAAGAAUCAGCAGCAGCAGGGGCGGCAGAAGAAGUUUCAUUCUUGGACUUUUUUUCUUACAUCUUAUGGGCAGCAGCUGUGUACCUGCCAUUCACUGCAAUAGGCCUCUUGCAUAAGAGUCACAGAGAGGCCUAUGAUGUUAAUGAUGUCAAGGUUACAUAUGCCUUGUGUUAG